AAGAAAAGCCUUCACUGGGGUCAAGCAAGGUGCACACAGCAAGGGCUGGAAGGGAAAGGAAUACUUGAGAUGUGGAAGACAUCUCUGGUAUCUAGGAACCAAAAGGAUCAAGAAUCUGGAGCAACUAUGAGGAAAGAUGGAAAUAACCUUGCAGAGACUAACCUCUUGCACAUCUUUGGAAUGGGUAAAGCAGUGCUCACCUUUGCAUGGGAAUGUGAAGUGAGCAUUCAGCAAAGCAUGAAUGGAGGAACAGUUCUUACUCUCUGGGGUCUUCAUUUCUGCAGAAGUGUUUUCAGUUACAUGAAAAUUAAAAGGCACUAUGUUAACUAAUGUCUCCACCAGGACAGAGAAUUUAAGAGAGAAAUUAUCCUUU